AUCCUUCAGGCAAAGGUUCCAACCUUCCAACGUGUUCCUGCAAGCAAACGUCUGAACGAGGAAGCCACUAUAGAAGGAUCUUUGGCAGUGUCAGUGGAAUUCAACUGCCAAAUGAGGACACCACGGAGCAGUUACGAGCCACGUCUAGCACUUUGCCUGAGGACCUUAUGUACUGAGACUUUGAUGCGCCUACUCUGGACGAUCUUCCAACCAGGCAAAGCUAAAGACCACACACGUACAUACAAAUCUGUCAUCGAUGUUUAGAGAGUUACGUGAAAGUUUCUAUUUUGUGACUCACUUGGGAAAUGUGGAACAACCUCUUUGUGAUAUGUUAUGUCUGGAGUCAGAAAGGAUAUAAAGGGAGUCUGGGGUCCUCUCGUCUGCCAUCAUUGUGGACUAGUGUCUCUGCAAUUGUGUGUUUGCUGGGGUGUUAGUGGUGUGCUGUGUGUGCUGUGCUCAAGUAAGUUUGUGAAAGUUUGUAAUGCUGAGUUAAACUGGUCUCUUCAGAGCCUUGAGUUGACAAAGUUCAUGAUGAAUUGCCAUGAGUUAAGGUAACCCAAAUGACUCUAGAAUCAUUUUUUUAUGAAGAAUCUUUUGAGACUACUUUCCUGUGGAACACAUUUUGAGAAAUCCUGGUAAAAAUGGUUAAGCGUUAGACUCAGGAUAGAUCCAAGCUCCACCACUUAGGUGCUGAGUGACUUUGGAAAGUUAUUUAAACUCUGUGUCUCCUCUGUUCCUUCAUCAGUAAAAUUAACAUAAUAAUGACAUCUACCUCACACGGUUUUGUAAGUAUAUUUGCUGUUAUCAUUCAGUAAAUGUAAACUGUUAUCUUCAUAAAAGAACACUUUGAUUUUGAA